ACGUAAGUAAACAAACAUCAGCUGAUCGGCGGCAAGGGGGAGGAGGAAGGCAACGAAGGGGAAAAGGAGACGAAGGAACAAAAACUAAAGAAAAUUAAUCAAAGAAAAGAAGGAAGAAGAGUGAAGUAGUGAAUUAACGAACAAAUAACAGAAGAACAGAAGACAGGACAGUGAAAUAACGAGGCAAAGAGAAAAAUAGCGUAAGGGGGAGGAGACGGAGGGGCGAAAGUAUCAAAGGAAAGACGAAACAGCAAGAAAUAACGUAAAAUAAAAAGACAAGGAAGUGAAAUAACGUAGUAAAGAGAAAAAAUAACGUAAGAGGGAGCAAAAAUAACGAAGGUGAGAAAAAUAACAAAGGGGAGGAGAGACGAAACAGCAGGAUAGUGACUUUGCGAGGAAAUAACGUAAAAUAAUUAGACAAGGAAGUGAAAUAACAAAGUACAGAGGAAAAUAACGUAAAAAGGGAGGGGACGGAAGAGCGAAGUUACAAGGAAAAUCACCGAAGAAAAGGAGACAACAGCAAAAUAGUGAAGUUACAAGCAAAUAACAAGGAAGAGACAGGAGAGUGAAACAGCAACGUGAGAGUAAGCAAGUGGAAGGAGGAAGACUGAGCAGUGAAAUAGCAAACAGGGGAGGAGACAAGAGCAAAACAGUGAAGAUACAAGUAAAAAAGACAGCAGAGGAGAAAACCAGGGGACUAAAAACGGCAAAAUAGUGAAGUUACGAGCAAAUAACAAGAGAGACAGGGGUGGAACAGCAAUAGGGAGGAGGAAGACUAAGCACUGAAAUAACAAAUACAAGAGGAGACGGAAGAGCAAAAUAGUGAAAAUACAAGCAAAAAACAGCAGAGGAGAAAACUAGAUGGAAAGGUAGUUAGAGGAGGAUAGUUUAGUGGAUAUAGAUGGAGCAGGAUAGAUAGACAGAGGAGGAUAGCCUGACUAAAAAAACACCAAAAUCACCAUCAAAUAUCAUAAACAGAGAAAACUAACAAAAGGAAAGGAAGCUAAACAGCAGAAUAACAAAAUCACACAAUAUACAAGACAACCAAGAGAAGACAAAGGGACAUCAUCAUCAAAAUCACGACCAAACAACACAAACGCACGCCACAAAAACCGUGGUAAUGGCUCCGAUAGCACUGCCGGAGGAGCUGAAGGGGCGGCUGGCGUUGCUGGUGGCGCAGGAGACAGCCGUGGUGAGGGAGUUCUGUCGCCUCACCAGCCAGUACUUCAGGCAGGAGGUGAAGCCUAAGGUGUUUACAUCGGCUGCCAACAAGCUCGGCGCCCAGCCAUCGCAGGUAGAGGACGCAGUACAAGCAUUAGUGUUCCUCCUGAUUCGCUGUGGUCAGGUCAACCCCACCACUGAAGAUCUGCAUGGCCUCUCCACCUCCCUGGGCUUCUCCGAGGACGCCGCCAAGGUCAUCGCCGACACCUACACCGACAACGAGGCGGAGGUCAAGGAGUACCUCAAGGCUUCUGGGGUCAAGGUGUCACAGUACAAGGACCUGGAGUGGAGGUUUGAUGUCCUAGUGGGUUCUCGCUCCCUCCACCACGUCGCUGAGCCGCUCCUCACCCUGCAGCUCACCCUGGACACACCAAACUCUGAUUCCACGCGCAAGGAGGGGAUUCACGAGGGACAGGACGGAGGCAUUGGUGAGGGGGGUGGAUGCGAGACACUCCUGCUGCAGACCGACCCCAACAACCUCCUGCACAUGACCUCGGUGCUGGAGGACGCGCUGCAGGAGGCUCGGACGCACCACUCUCGCCGCGUCCAGAGAUACCUCAAGUAGCUGCGUGUGGUGGGGUGUGGCGUAAUGGGGUGGUUUCAUAGUCCGACACGAGUUAUCAUUUACACUCAUAUGGAAGUACAUUUUCGAUAAUUCUCUUUUUCUAUGCAGUGCUCGAUAUUAAAGUGAUUUCCUGUGUGGUUUCAAAGUCCGACAGAAAUUAUCAUUGGCACUCAAACUGAAGUAUAUAUGCCAUGAUUCUCUUUUUCUAUGCAGCGCUCGAUAAUAAAACAAAACAAAGUGCUUUCCGGUGUGGUUUUAUCAAGUUAAUUACAUUCUACAUCAAGGGAAUACACUAAGUGAAUCUGCGAUGCUCAAACAGAAGUAUAUAUUUCCAUAAUUCUCUUUUUCUUUGUAGUGCUCGAAACUAAAGUGAUUCCCUGUGUGGUUUUAUCAAAUUUCUUAGCUUCUACAUCAAGGCCAAACACUAAUUGAAUCUGGGGUCUCUUGGUAGGGCAGUGAGCGUGUUAUCCCCUCCAUUACGAAGCCCUGUGUUUGCAUGUUAGUGUGUGUGAUUGUGCAACUAAUGAUACUCCGAAAUCUUGUUGCGUUGGGUUACUUGUUGCUUAGGUUGGAAACUGGGAGAACGCUCAUGAGACAGUAAGGAAGCAUGCCCCGAGAGAGAGGUCAAUGGGGUUUCUGAUUAGCACUCGCAUCAGGAUGAAAGCUACGGUUGGAAAGUGGAAGGAGACGCCCGUAUGAGAAAGUAAGGAAGUCCAAGAGAGAGGUCAAUGGGCUUUUCUGAUUAGUACUCGCAUCAGGACGAAAGCUACGAUUGGAAAGUGGAAGGAGACGCCCAUAUGUCCCCUCUACACCUGGGAGUCAAACUUGGACCUCUCAGUUGCGAGGUGAACGUGCUAGCCAUUGUGCCAUGAAGCUGUGUGUGUGUGUGUGUGUGUGCGUGUGUGUAAGUAACGAUAUUCCAGAUUCUUGUUUCAUUGGGUUAUGUUCAUUCCAGGUCUUGGGUGUUACUUUAUACAAUGUUUUGAUGCCUUCACGAGAAUGCAGCGGCCCGUGUCUUCCCUAGAUUCUGACAUUCCAUUACUGAUUAAACCUCCUCACUGCCUCACUGCAACAAGACUCGGAAGUGUUAGAAAUAAGGAAGGAUUAGCACACUGCAACAAGACUCGGAAGUGUUAGAAAUAAGGAAGGAUUAGCACACUGCAACAAGACUCGGAAGUGUUAGCACUGGACUGAGCAAGAUGGAGGAGGAUCAUUGGAAGUCCAGCGCUUAGAAUGGGAGACGAUGGACUAUACUAUAAAUGUAGAAGAAAAAGAAGAAGACUGUCCUCCCUGUUUCCCUUCACUACAUAGAUGAAAAAUAUGUAUCGGACCAACGUUAAGUCUUAGUUUGAUAGUUAAGUGUUGUAUGGGAGGACGGAAGACUCUCUAGUUACAGAGGUAGGUGCCAAAGACAUUCAAGCAUAAUGGAAGUGUUAUUUGAUAGAGAUUUUUCGAUUUGGGACUGGUGGGGCUGUGUGUGUGUGUGUGUGUGUGUGUGUGUGUUUUAUGGUGGAAAUGACAGGUUGUGUGAAAGAGAUUGCCCUCUACGAUUUAUUAAAGUAAAGAAAAUAGAAUGAAAUGUGUGUGUGUGUGUGUGUGUGUGCUUGUGUGAGUGUGUUUUAUGGUGGAAAUGACAGGUUGUGUGAAAGAGAUUGCCCUCUACGAUUUAUUAAAGUAAAGAAAAUGGAAUGAAAUGUGUGUGUGUGUAGUCAAUUCAAAGGUGUGUUAAAAUGAAAUCCUCAAAUGUAAACGCCCUUAAUGUCGGAUCUGCAGUACUGUUUUCCUUUAGAAUGCCCUGAUUAUCUCUAAGGUGAUUGUUUACCUCUGCAUGACAAAACAAGCCUGACUGACAACUGCAAAAACUAUGUACACUAUGAUUUUUGUAAACAUGAAAGAAAGAAAAGUUUUUGAAAAUG